UACGGGGGGGGCAAGCGUUGUUCGGAAUUACUGGGCGUAAAGGGCUCGUAGGUGGCCAACUAAGUCGGACGUGAAAUCCCUCAGCUUAACUGGGGAACUGCGUCCGAUACUGGAUGGCUCGAGUUUGGGAGAGGGAUGCGGAAUUCCAGGUGUAGCGGUGAAAUGCGUAGAUAUCUGGAGGAACACCGGUGGCGAAGGCGGCAUUCUGGACCGAUAUUGACGCUGAGGAGCGAAAGCCAGGGGAGCAAACGGG
rnacentral:rRNA from 1 species